GAUGAACGCUGGCGGCGUGCUUAACACAUGCAAGUCGAACGGUGAAGGCGGAGCUUGCUCUGCUGGAUCAGUGGCGAACGGGUGAGUAACACGUGAGCAAUCUGCCCCUGACUCUGGGAUAAGCGCUGGAAACGGCGUCUAAUACUGGAUACGAGCUGCGAAGGCAUCUUCAGCAGCUGGAAAGAACUUCGGUCAGGGAUGAGCUCGCGGCCUAUCAGCUUGUUGGUGAGGUAACGGCUCACCAAGGCGUCGACGGGUAGCCGGCCUGAGAGGGUGACCGGCCACACUGGGACUGAGACACGGCCCAGACCCCUACGGGAGGCAGCAGUGGGGAAUAUUGCACAAUGGGCGAAAGCCUGAUGCAGCAACGCCGCGUGAGGGACGACGGCCUUCGGGUUGUAAACCUCUUUUAGCAGGGAAGAAGCGAAAGUGACGGUACCUGCAGAAAAAGCGCCGGCUAACUACGUG
rnacentral:rRNA from 1 species